CAGCAGCCACGGGAAUACGUAGGGUGCGAGCGUUAAUCGGAAUUACUGGGCGUAAAGCGUGCGCAGGCGGUUCGUUAAGACAGAUGUGAAAUCCCCGGGCUUAACCUGGGAACUGCAUUUGUGACUGACGGGCUAGAGUAUGGCAGAGGGGGGUAGAAUUCCACGUGUAGCAGUGAAAUGCGUAGAGAUGUGGAGGAAUACCGAUGGCGAAGGCAGCCCCCUGGGCCAAUACUGACGCUCAUGCACGAAAGCGUGGGGAGCAAACAGGAUUAGAUACCCCCGUAGUCCCUGUCCCUUAUAC
rnacentral:rRNA from 1 species